AGGACGAACGCUGGCGGCGUGCUUAACACAUGCAAGUCGAACGAAGAGCGAUGGAAGCUUGCUUCUAUCAAUCUUAGUGGCGAACGGGUGAGUAACGCGUAAUCAACCUGCCCUUCAGAGGGGGACAACAGUUGGAAACGACUGCUAAUACCGCAUACGAUCCAAUCUCGGCAUCGAGACUGGAUGAAAGGUGGCCUCUAUUUAUAAGCUAUCACUGAAGGAGGGGAUUGCGUCUGAUUAGCUAGUUGGAGGGGUAACGGCCCACCAAGGCGAUGAUCAGUAGCCGGUCUGAGAGGAUGAACGGCCACAUUGGGACUGAGACACGGCCCAGACUCCUACGGGAGGCAGCAGUGGGGAAUCUUCCGCAAUGGACGAAAGUCUGACGGAGCAACGCCGCGUGAGUGAUGACGGCCUUCGGGUUGUAAAGCUCUGUUAAUCGGGACGAAUGGUUCUUGUGCGAAUAGUGCGAGGAUUUGACGGUACCGGAAUAGAAAGCCACGGCUAACUACGUGCCAGCAGCCGCGGUAAUACGUAGGUGGCAAGCGUUGUCCGGAAUUAUUGGGCGUAAAGCGCGCGCAGGCGGAU
rnacentral:rRNA from 1 species